GGUUCUUGAAGUAUCAUAGUGUUAAGUUAGAAGAACUGACUGAAACUGAAAAUGCAGGCUGAGGAAGAGCUAAGGUGUUUGAGGCAGAGCGGUUGGAGGUUGGGACGAUAAGUAGGGGAUGUCCUCGAGCUCGCAAACCAGGUGAGUUAUCACGACUCGUUCCUGGGCGCUUGUUUUUUGCUGGACGAGGACACAAUACGUUGCACUCUUCCAGGUGGUGAUUUCCCCUUGAUUGAGCUUAUUAAUCUGGUCCUCUGGUUAAACAAUUAGGACUUCGAGGUGGAAGAAGUUCAUGAACAGCCAAAAUUUCCUCGUCCAGUCCCCUCAGGAAUGAGCCGUGUUGCGCCUGCUCACUCCGAGCAGGGAACCUCUACAUACCACUCCAACAGCUCCUCCCGCCUGCCCAAACCCAACCACCCCAGUAGCUUCUCCCGAACUCCGCUAUCUCCCUCAGCCCGCGGCCCGCCAAUGUGGUGUAAGGAGUGAAAUUAUUUCCUUAUGAAAUUAAUUCUUUGUGAAGCCAGACAUUCAGGAACUCUCGCAAUGAUUUGAUCAGAUAGAAAUCUGAUCUAGAAGAAAGACCAUUUAUUUUUUGAUCUCUUCACCCAUCCUUUCCCCCUGGGUACAUGGUCCAGGUCACUAAAAGUUGACAGAAAUGCCAAGAACUCAAGUUACUAUUCUCACAUAAAACACUUACUAUAUCUUCAGGAUUCAUGAUUGUAAACUUCAUGUUUGGUGUCAUUUUAAAGGUCUCUGUGUGAUUUGGUAAAAUGGUCUCAAUUUCACAGUAGUCAUUUAUAUUAUGAGAAAGAUUAAAAACUUGUAGAAUUGUGUUCUGCUGUGAAGGGUGUGUGUCCCCCUUUAGGGGUCUUUGAGAAUGUUUAUCUCCAGCCAGGUGUGACCCUGAUGUGAUCACGGGAACCUAAAGAACCAAAAGGACUUUUGUUUUUACAACUGAUUUGAAGACUUCUUUGUUGUCUUGUCUGAGUAUUUAAGGGAAGUGACAAAACACUACUAGGCGAUUCUGUAUCCAGAAAGCCCGUAGUGUGGAGUGUAUUUCAUAUGCUCCAUACUAUGUCUCUUCCUGAAGUUAGG
ensembl:lncRNA